rnacentral:rRNA from 1 species
GCUUACCAUGCAAGUCGAACGAUGAAGCCCAGCUUGCUGGGUGGAUUAGUGGCGAACGGGUGAGUAACACGUGAGUAACCUGCCCCCGACUCUGGGAUAAGCCCGGGAAACUGGGUCUAAUACCGGAUAUUACCUCUUGCCGCAUGGCAGGUGGUGGAAAGAUUUAUCGGUGGGGGAUGGACUCGCGGCCUAUCAGCUUGUUGGUGAGGUAAUGGCUCACCAAGGCGACGACGGGUAGCCGGCCUGAGAGGGUGACCGGCCACACUGGGACUGAGACACGGCCCAGACUCCUACGGGAGGCAGCAGUGGGGAAUAUUGCACAAUGGGCGAAAGCCUGAUGCAGCGACGCCGCGUGAGGGAUGACGGCCUUCGGGUUGUAAACCUCUUUCAGUAGGGAAGAAGCGAAAGUGACGGUACCUGCAGAAGAAGCGCCGGCUAACUACGUGCCAGCAGCCGCGGUAAUACGUAGGGCGCAAGCGUUAUCCGGAUUUAUUGGGCGUAAAGAGCUCGUAGGCGGUUUGUCGCGUCUGCCGUGAAAGUCCGAGGCUCAACCUCGGAUCUGCGGUGGGUACGGGCAGACUAGAGUGAUGUAGGGGAGACUGGAAUUCCUGGUGUAGCGGUGAAAUGCGCAGAUAUCAGGAGGAACACCGAUGGCGAAGGCAGGUCUCUGGGCAUUUACUGACGCUGAGGAGCGAAAGCAUGGGGAGCGAACAGGAUUAGAUACCCUGGUAGUCCAUGCCGUAAACGUUGGGCACUAGGUGUGGGGGACAUUCCACGUUUUCCGCGCCGUAGCUAACGCAUUAAGUGCCCCGCCUGGGGAGUACGGCCGCAAGGCUAAAACUCAAAGGAAUUGACGGGGGCCCGCACAAGCGGCGGAGCAUGCGGAUUAAUUCGAUGCAACGCGAAGAACCUUACCAAGGCUUGACAUGUGCCAGACCGCUUCAGAGAUGGAGUUUCCCUUCGGGGCUGGGUUCACAGGUGGUGCAUGGUUGUCGUCAGCUCGUGUCGUGAGAUGUUGGGUUAAGUCCCGCAAC